CUGACAGAGGCAGUUUAUCAGUCUUCAUUUAAUCAUUCUUCAUCCUGUUUGUUGUUUAGAGAAAGCACUGCUUUUUCACUCUUUUGGCAAUUGAAAGCAACGUCAAUUAAAGGGACAUACGCCUGA